GGAGUUGUGGCUCAGUGGUAGAGUGCUCAUCUAGCACGCGUGAGGCACUGGGUUCCAUCCUCAGCACCA
rnacentral:tRNA from 1 species